GGAGGGGUCGCAUAGUCUGGUCUAGUGCGUCCGACUCGAAAUCGGAUGAGCGGCAACGCUCCGGGGGUUCGAAUCCCUCCCCCUCCGCCA
rnacentral:tRNA from 1 species